UACGUAGGGGGCAAGCGUUGUCCGGAAUCAUUGGGCGUAAAGAGCGUGUAGGCGGCCCGGUAAGUCCGCUGUAAAAGUCAAAGGCUUAACCUUUGAAUGUCAGUGGAUACUGCCGGGCUAGAGUCCGGAAGAGGCGAGUGGAACUCCUGGUGUAGCGGUGGAAUGCGCAGAUAUCAGGAAGAACACCAACGGCGAAGGCAGCUCGCUGGGACGGUACUGACGCUGAGACGCGAAAGCGUGGGGGAGCGAACAGG
rnacentral:rRNA from 1 species